rnacentral:rRNA from 1 species
GCGAUGCAUUAGCUAGUUGGUAAGGUAACGGCGUUACCAAGGCGAUGAUGCAUAGCCGAGUUGAGAGACUGAUCGGCCACAUUGGGACGUGAGACACGGCCCAAACUCCUACGGGAGGCAGCAGUAGGGGAAUCUUCCACAAUGGACACAAGUCUGAUGGAGCAACGCCGCGUGAGUGAAGAAGGUUUUCGGAUCGUAAAGCUCUGUUGUUGGUGAAGAAGGAUAGAGGUAGUAACUAGCCUUUAUUUGACGGUAAUCAACCAGAAAGUCACGGCUAACUACGUGCCAGCAGCCGCGGUAAAU